ensembl:lncRNA
CUGGGCUGUAGGUCUACUGAAUGGCUCUGGGCUGUAGGUCUACUGAAUGGUGCUGGGCUGUAGGUCUACUGAAUGGUGCUGUAGGUCUACUGAAUGGUGCUGGGCUGUAGGUCUACUGAAUGGUGCUGGCUGUAGGUCUACUGAAUGGUGAUGGGCUGUAGGUCUACCGAAUGGCGCUGGGCUGUAGGUCUACCGAAUGGCGCUGGGCUGUAGGUCUACUGAAUGGUGCUGGGCUGUAGGUCUACUGAAUAGUGCUGUAGGUCUACUGAAUGGUGCUGGGCUGUAGGUCUACUGAAUGGUGCUGUGUGCUGGUCUGUAGGUCUACUGAACGGUGCUGGGCUGUAGGUGUCCUGAAUGGCGAUGGGCUGUAGGUCUACUGAAUGGCGCUGGGCUGUAGGUCUACUGAAUGGCGCUGUGGAUCACUGAACGGUGCUGGGCUGUAGGUCUACUGAAUGGUGCUGGGCUGUAGGUCUACUGAAUGGUGCUGGCUGUAGGUCUACUGAAUGGUGAUGGG